CUACGGGUCGCUCCAGUGGGGAAUCUUAGACAAUGGGCGCAAGCCUGAUCUAGCCAUGCCGCGUGAGUGACGAAGGCCUUAGGGUCGUAAAGCUCUUUCGCUGGGGAAGAUAAUGACGGUACCCAGUAAAGAAACCCUGGCUAACUCCGUGCCAGCAGCCGCGGUAAUACGGAGGGGGUUAGCGUUGUUCGGAAUUACUGGGCGUAAAGCGCGCGUAGGCGGAUCAGAAAGUUGGGGGUGAAAUCCCGGGGCUCAACCCCGGAACUGCCUUCAAAACUCCUGGUCUUGAGUUCGAGGGAGGUGAGUGGAAUUCCGAGUGUAGAGGUGAAAUUCGUAGAUAUUCGGAGGAACACCAGUGGCGAAGGCGGCUCACUGGCUCGAUACUGACGCUGAGGUGCGAAAGCGUGGGGAGCAAACAGGAUUAGAUACCCUCGUAGUC
rnacentral:rRNA from 1 species